UGCCAGCAGCCGCGGUAAUACAGAGGGUGCAAGCGUUAAUCGGAAUUACUGGGCGUAAAGGGCGCGUAGGUGGAUAAUUAAGUUAGAUGUGAAAGACCAGGGCUUAACCUUGGGGUGUCAUCUAAUACUGGUUAUCUAGAGUACGGUAGAGGGAAGUGGAAUUUCCGGUGUAGCGGUGAAAUGCGUAGAUAUCGGAAGGAACAUCAGUGGCGAAGGCGACUUCCUGGACUGAUACUGACACUGAGGUGCGAAAGCGUGGGUAGCGAACAGGAUUAGAUA
rnacentral:rRNA from 1 species